UACGUAGGGUGCAAGCAUUAAUCGGAAUUAUUGGGCGUAAAGGGCGCGUAGGCGGAUUGAUAAGUCAGAUGUGAAAAUACCAAACUCAACUUUGGUGCUGCAUUUUGAAACUGUCUCUCUAGAGGAUUGACGGAGAAAGCGGAAUUCCACGUGUAGCGGUGAAAUGCGUAGAUACGUGGAGGAACACCGGUGGCGAAGGCGGCUUUCUAGUUUAUACCUGACGCUGAGGCGCGAGAGCAAGGGGGAGCAAACAGG
rnacentral:rRNA from 1 species